rnacentral:rRNA from 1 species
GAUGAACGCUGGCGGUAUGCUUAACACAUGCAAGUCGAACGGGCUCUUCGGGGUUAGUGGCGGACGGGUGAGUAACGCGUGGGAAUCUGGCUUUGGGUUCGGGACAACCACUGGAAACGGGGGCUAAUACCGGAUGUUGCGUGCGGACAAAGAGCAUUUGCCUGAAAAUUAGGUCGGGGCUGUUUAGCUAGUUGGUGGGGGGAAGGCCCACCAAAGGAGCGAUCAGUAGCAGGUCUGAGAGGAUGACCAGCCACACCGGGACUGAGACGCCGCCCACACGACUCCUGCGGGAAGCAGUAGUGAAGUAUCCGGGAUGGGCGACAGCCUGACGGAGCAACACCGCGUGGGGAAUGAUGACUCUUGGGUUGUAAACCUGUUUUCUUAGGCAAGAACAUAAUGACGGUACCGAAAGAAUAAGCACCGGCUAACUCCGUG